ACGCUAGCUACAGGCUUAACACAUGCAAGUCGAGGGGAAACGGCAUUGAGUGCUUGCACUCUUUGGACGUCGACCGGCGCACGGGUGAGUAACGCGUAUCCAACCUUCCCAUUACUGUGGGAUAACCUGCCGAAAGGCAGACUAAUACCGCAUAGUCUUCGAUGACGGCAUCAGAUUUGAAGUAAAGAUUUAUCGGUAAUGGAUGGGGAUGCGUCUGAUUAGCUUGUUGGCGGGGUAACGGCCCACCAAGGCGACGAUCAGUAGGGGUUCUGAGAGGAAGGUCCCCCACAUUGGAACUGAGACACGGUCCAAACUCCUACGGGAGGCAGCAGUGAGGAAUAUUGGUCAAUGGACGGAAGUCUGAACCAGCCAAGUAGCGUGCAGGAUGACGGCCCUAUGGGUUGUAAACUGCUUUUGUAUGGGGAUAAAGUUGGGGACGUGUCCCUAUUUGCAGGUACCAUACGAAUAAGGACCGGCUAAUUCCGUGCCAGCAGCCGCGGUAAUACGGAAGGUCCAGGCGUUAUCCGGAUUUAUUGGGUUUAAAGGGAGCGUAGGCUGGAGAUUAAGUGUGUUGUGAAAUGUAGACGCUCAACGUCUGAAUUGCAGCGCAUACUGGUUUCCUUGAGUACGCACAACGUUGGCGGAAUUCGUCGUGUAGCGGUGAAAUGCUUAGAUAUGACGAAGAACUCCGAUUGCGAAGGCAGCUGACGGGAGCGCAACUGACGCUUAAGCUCGAAGGUGCGGGUAUCAAACAGGAUUAGAUACCCUGGUAGUCCGCACAGUAAACGAUGGAUGCCCGCUGUUGGUACCUGGUAUCAGCGGCUAAGCGAAAGCAUUAAGCAUCCCACCUGGGGAGUACGCCGGCAACGGUGAAACUCAAAGGAAUUGACGGGGGCCCGCACAAGCGGAGGAACAUGUGG
rnacentral:rRNA from 1 species